rnacentral:lncRNA from 1 species
CUCACAUCGGACAGAGAAAUCGCUCACACACAUAUACUGCUCUUACUUUCCCUCACAUACCGCCUGCUCCUCCUUUACCCUCCUCCUUACUUGUCUCUCAUACAAUCUUCAUUCGAACUUCAUUAAAACCUCCGUCUCUCUCUCUCUCUCUCUCUCUCUAAUCACUCUCUCACACUUUUCCCCCCUACUCACUCUGACAGUUUCUAUCUUAUUCUCCCCGCCCUCCCUCCCUUUCCCCUCUCUCAUACUGUUUUAAUCUGUUUCCCUCCCCUUCUAAACACUCUAUACACAUACUUUCAUACCUCCUAUCUCUUUUUCCAGUCAUAUAACAUUUACACCGAUAUAUAUACACACAUAAAUACACAUACUCACACACACGCACACGUAUAUACACUCAUACAGCUAGAGCGAUAUAGUGUGCACACGUACUAUAGACAACUUAACGUCGACCAAAAAAUAUUUAUUUAUAUAUUUCAUUCUGCAUUUUUAAAAAUAUUUUUUUAUUUUGCUUUCCACUCUUUACUGUUUCUUGCUUAUUGUAAAACACUGUUUGGGGUUUUUUCAUACUUACUACAUGCACUGUCCUGAGAGGUAUAUUACCUUCGUCAUGAUUGAAACUUUAACCGAAUAACAAUUCAAGGUAAGUGAAAAGCACUGCUUAUAUAUAUAUAUAUAUAUACAUAUAUGCUGAUCUAUCUAUUUAUCUAUUCAUCUGUGUGUGAAUAUGUACAACUUUUCAGCUUUCUAGUUGCGUAUGAAAUUAGGAAUUUGUAUAUAUAUAUAUAUAUAUAUAUAUAUAUACAAAUUUGUAUUCAGUUCUGGUGUCUUUAACUUUUGAAGAAAAAGCAUGCGUAUUUAUUUCAUUCUUUACAGUAUGAACAGCUGUUCAGAUUUUGUAUGAGGGUGGGGAGCAAUGAGAUCAUGUGGCACUCAUGCCUUUUUCCGAGAAAAUUUAUAGCGAUCAACGUGAAUGAAAUAUCUACAUUUUCCAAAUCGAAACCGAAUUGCGGGCUCUGUUCGCGGGGGAGCGGUCGUCCUCACCGGGGCCUUUGUUAAUUACAUCCAAUUGCUACAAGUCCUUAGAUAUGUGGUUAUUUUAACCCCAGAUCGAACAGACUGACUAAUAAUCUAAGAGUUCCAGCCAUACGCUACAUAUUUCAGUCAGUGUUUUAUCGAAUAUUGUGUCUAAGUCUACCAAUGAACCCUUAAUAUUUAAAGACAGUAAAGGUGUGAUUUGAAGAAUAUACAAGUGCUGUUUCUAGCGGCUCCUUCGCUGGAUAUUUAGAAAAGUGGAUAUAUUGAGAAGGAUAUGCUGAGGCUGAUUAUGUAUGGAGUUCACGCAUGUUCUAAGGUGAUUAAAGCGUAAGGUGUAACGAAAUAGCGACAGUGCUAGAAUCGAAACUUGGUCGCAGAUUCUGCUUGCUGGGUGCUUAUAUUUACUACUGUACAUGUUUAAUACCAAGUACUUGCGUGAAAAUUGUCGUGGCGGUGGACAUAAUCCGUGGCACAUCGCCCAAAAUGCGUUACGAGUAGAUUACUUACAGCUAUCAUUUAUUGCUCGGAGUUCAAAUAUAUUUCCAGUAUCGAUAAAAUUCGAUACUAGUUGUAAAAAUGACUGAAGGUGAUUGAUUAAUAAUUAGACUGUACAUCUCGUCUUGCUUAACACCUAGCCUUAACAAAAUUUUGUGUACCUUGUUUGAAAUAUUUUAACAUUAGUUUGUACUGUUUGGUGGUGGUAGUAAAUAUUUGUAAUCGGCUCCAUCAGCAAAACAAAACACAGAUACAUGAUCAAUGUUGAAAGUUUAUCCACUUUUCGAAAACUUUUUUUUUUUUCUUUUACUCUCUCUCUUUGUCUAAAUACAUGCAACUUCUGUAUAAAUAAUUUGGUUGUUUCCUUGUACAAUAAUACUACUACACAGACGUGAGAGGACAUGGGGAAGGGAUCUGAGAGCAAUUUCAUCAAGGGGGUAUUAAGUUUCUUUCACGCUACGCCUUCCCUCCUCUAAACGUUAGUCUUCAAUAUAUAUAUAUAUGGUACUUGUAUCGCAGAAUGGUCCCAGUACCUAUAUAUAUAUAUAUAUAUAUAUAUAUAUAUAUAUAUGGUACUUAAAGGUACUUGUAUCGCAGAGUGGUCCCAGUACCUAUAUAUAUAUAUAUAUGUAUAUAUAUAUAUAUAUAUAUAUAUAUAUAUAUAUAUAUAUAUAUAAUAUGUGUGUGUGAGUAUGUUUGCGUUAUACAUAUAUUUUCUGAGAUACCACUAUCUUCUAUGACCCGGAGUUCGAUGUACCUCUGCCUCACCUCUCUUGGACGUUUGCGGACGUGCAUUCAUAUAUAUAUAUAUACACAACAUGUGUGUGUAUAUAUGUGUGAAUGUACGUAUAAGUUUUGAAUACACAGAUGUAAUAAUAAUAAUAAUAAUGAUAAUGUAAUAAUAAGCGAGAAAAGCCUGCGAAAGUCGCCUUGUUUCUUUAGCUACUAUUUUCAGUAAAGACCCCCUCCCCUAUACCAACACAGUCCCUGCCAAAGAUGUAGGUAUAGUCACCCUUACCUUUUUCUGCAUCUUCUCUUUAUUCUUUUACUCCCAGCCCCACACACACACACACCAAACACACUCUCUGUCAGAAUUCAACACCGCCGCUAACCCAUAUUGUUUUUAUAUCAUAAGUUCCAUCAUUAUGGAAUGUAAACAAGGGUCUUAAAAUUGGUUCUCCUUCUCUCUUUCUCUCUCUCUCUCUCUCUUCAUGUCAUGCUACGAGCACACACGGCAAGCAUACACCAUUCCCAUUCACAAUAACAUAGAUACGCACAUACAUACAUGCACGCGCACGCACACACACACACACACACACGCACAGUGACAUACACAUAUACAAACGGACAUAUCCCAACACACAGCCAAGACAGAGGAACAGCCACUUACGCAUAACACCACGCACGAGCCACCGAAAUAGCCGCCAGUAUCUCAACGCGGUCGUUCGGCCCUAUCUGCUAGAGAUAGCAGUCAAAUCUCUCCCUCAAAUCAUACUUAACCGUCUACAGUAAUGGGGCACAUCAGACAAUGAAGUCCUUGGUAUACAACAACAACAACAACAAACCAACCAACAAAACAAAACAUUAUAGUCACGGUUGGAAUGCCUUUGAUCAUAAAUCUUGCUUUAUCAGGGCCUGGCCUGCGGUUGAGCAAAAAUCAACGACGUUUUUUUCUUUUUCUUUCUAUCGCUUCCCUUUUAUGCUCAAGUCCGCUGCGACGCGGUUUCGAUUCCUAAUUGAUUUUAAGUCGUUCUGCUUGAAUUUUUACUCUUUCACUCAUUGAACUGUGGAGAUGCUGGGGGUAUCAUCUUCAACGGUUUUAGUCGCUCAUAUCAACCCCGCAUCCCACUACUUAUUUAAGUUUGGUACUUCAUUUUAUCGAUCUCUGUCAAAAUAGCUGAGUAAUCAUUUUCGACACAACGCAACUUUUUUUUCUACUCUAGUAAUCAAUCACAUACCCAUAGACACACACACACAUAUAUAUACAUACCACGCUCUGCCCGCCCGCACGGUUUCCGUUUACUAAUUCCAUUCAUAAACUAUUGAUUACUCUGCUUUCCAGUGGAAGUCGCUUGCUCAAGAUGCUGCGCCGUAGGUUCGAAUCUCACAGCUACCUCCCACCUCGUUUUUUUUUGUUUUUUUUUCUUAAUUAAAAUAUAAAAACACAAGAGUGCCUUGAAUUCUCAGUUUCUUCAUACCUGCAUUUGGAUAAUCUUUUUCUUUUCUUUUAACUACGAAAAAUGUUUAGUUAUUUAACCCUAGGUCUACUCUCCAGCCACAGCCAGCUCAUCGUAUUUUCAGACAUGUAUCCAAGACUUAUCCAAAUUGUGUCUUCCUUUUUAAGAGAGUUGGAUUGUGGUUUAAGGGGAUUUUAGCUACUAUAUCUAGCCGGUCGUGCGACCACUUAGAGUAGCAGUUCCUGAUCAUUUAUUAUCACAACCUAGUUUGGUAAGUCCAAUAUUCGGGGUUCAGUUAAAAAGAAAAUUUUAUGCAUAUAUAUAUAUAUAUAUCCCUUUGAGGUACACUUAACAUUCGAUACUUUUCUUGGGGGGGGGGGGGAAACAUUUUUCAAUCUUUACAGUAUAUCUUGUAUAUUAGGUGUUCAUAUACCCUGAUACUGUACCGAAGAAUUGGGCCCCACUCACAUCGAAAUUAUAUUAUUCAUGAGCCCUCAAGGCCCCGCGCUACGUCACCCGCAUAGCACCAGCCGUUAAAUGACACUGGCUGCGUCUCGAAGAAUGUACUUCAACCGAUAUAUCGGGCAGGGAUCAUUAGUGCCAAGAGGGCUCUGUAAAUAUUUGACGAGCCCAUUUCGAGAAGAAAUCCCUUCAAUUUUAAAAUAACCCUCGAUAGCCCGAAAACAGUAGGCACUGGUUGUAACCUUUCUGUACUCAACAAUUUUUUUUUUUUUUUAUUAGUUUACAUGUUUCGUUCACUGUAAUAUAGUACUGAAGGAUAUAGUCUAUAUAAUCGACCCCCAAUCCUUAAAUGUCGGUACUUAUUCUAUCAGCCUGAUUUUACCAAACCGAUAAGUUAUAGGGACAUAAACAAAGCAACACCAGUUGUCAAGCACUGAAAGAAAGACACACACACACGGUGCGUUUCCGCCAAUUGUACGUCUACCUAAUUCACAGAUAAGGCAGUGGUUAGUCUGGGGCACUGGGAAACACUUGCUCGUUGUGGCUGCGUAUUGGGAAUGAACCCGCGACCACGUGGUUGUGAAACGAACUUCUUAAACGCGCCAUUUGAAUAAUUAAUUCGUUCAUGAAGAUUUUAUAGUUUAACAAAAAUUUUAAAUGUCAAUUUUUUUUUGGUGGUGGUGGGGGGACCCUUUCUGAUUUAUACAGUGAUGCAAAAUUGGGUCGCGACCCCUAAAUAUGGGAACUGCUGACGUACAAGUUUGAGUUGUUAGUGUUGUGAAAACUAGAGGAUAGAGGAGGUGCGGUAACCGUGGUGGUGGUCAUACAUGUCAACAGUUCUUAUAUAAUUUUGUGUUAAUGAAUAAACUUUUACACCAGUCAUGGGCAAACUGCGGCCCGCGGGACUUUCCGAAUUGCACGCCAACGAAAAGUUAUCUUGAACUGUUUUGAAACGCGACCCUCUUGAUGAUGAGUCAGGUCUCAUGCGGCCCGCUUCCCGGGGAAAAGUUUCCUAUGCCUGCUCUGCACAGUCGGUCAAUAUGCUUGAAAUAGCAGCCAAAAUCUCCCUAAAAUCAUAACCUACCAGAGGACGCAUUAAAUAAUAUGGCCUUAAAUAUAGUUUGUAUGAGAAAUAAAAUAAAAUACCCAAAUCAACAGAUUGGUCAGUCACAGCGUGAUAGUCUUUUCUUCAUAAGUCUCCGAUUGAGGGGUAAACUGGGGCUAAAACAAAAAAAAAAAAAACACCAAAAAACAAAAACAAACUGUAAUAUCUUUCGUGAAGUUUAGCAUUAUAUGUGAGUAUGUAAAUUAUAGAUAGAUAGUGGGGGUAGUAGAUGGAUAAUAUAUAUAUAUAUAUAUAUAUAUAUAUAUAUAUAUAUAUUGCUAUGUGUUCACAUUAAACACGCAACGUAUUUGGCUUCUAACAGACUUUUAAGUGACCUGACCAGAAAGAGUGCCUACUAGAAAAAGUAGCCAAAUCGCCCACAAAUCACAUUCUAUACCGUCUUAAGUAAGAUUAAGACUCUUUACUAAUGUCGGAUACUCCUUGACCUGGGCUUAACAUUUUUUUUUUUCUCUUUUCUUUCAUUUUUUAGAAUGUGCUAUGUCACGUCACCGAAGACUUGGCAUUUGAAUUCGUCUGUGCCUUUGGUAAUUAAGUCUAAAUCUCUGCUUGUAAUUAGGGUAGUAAAGACGGUAUUUUCUAAAACAACAAAACAUGGUAUUUCGAGUGAGAGGCAAUAAACGUGUGAGUGUGUGUGAGAGAAUGGAAUUUUCUCUCUCACACACACACACACACACACACACACAUAUAUAUUUAAUUCCUAAGUAAAGAAAAACUUGAAUACCGAGAAAAAAAUAAAUAAAUGAAAUACAUGGAAUGAAAACAAAAGAAAAAUUGGCGUGGUUCUUUUUUUUUUCUCUUACUUUUCCCGGAAGCUUGCGAAAAUUCCUUCUCUUUAAAAGUGAAGUUGUGUCUCUAAAACUACAAGCUACGUCUAGACCUACACCCAUCCCUUCCUUCACACCUGUAUCUACUACUUAGCUUGUCUCAUUAGUAAUCACCUGCUGCCAAACAAUACCUUACUUUUAUGUUCAGGUGGUGUAAAGUAGACCAAGGAAGCGUCGUUGUGAAUUCGGCUUCGCUUACAUUAAAGAUCGCUCAAAUUGCCUCUCACAUUCACACAUACAAUGUGCUGGCGAGGGAGCUGCGACGUGGUCACUUUGUUUGCUAGAAAUAGUUAGCUAAAAUCUCUUUCUUUCUCAAAUCACAAGUCCUACCUUAAAAAAUUGACAGGACAAAUUAGAUAAUGUACUCUAAGGAACGAAUGUGACGUGACCUAGUGGUUGGAGCCGUGAAGUUGCAGGUUCGUUCUUAAGAUGCGGUCGCUCGAUUCGAAAGAAAUAGCAAGCUAAAUCUCUUUCUCAAAUUACAAACCCUACUUUAAAAAAGGAAAGGGUAAAUUAGAUAAAUGCACUUUAAGGAAAGAAUAUGGCCUAGUGGUUAGGGCCAUUUGGUAAUGAUCAAAAUAGUUGUAGGUUCGAUUCUUGAGCACGUGGCACAUUCUUUUUUUUUUUUUUUUUUUAUGUUACUCCAGUCUCAUAUUCUUCCAGCUGCCAUAUUCUCGAUGUUCUUAUAUGGCUGUGGUUUUCAACCAUUUUUUGCCUAUGGAUCCCUCUGAUUCAUAUUUUACUCUGGUGGGGCCUCCAUAGCCAUUCUAUGUUUAAAACAAAUCCUCUUAUAUUUUUAUAAUGGAUUAUUAUUUAGCAAUUGUAUUUUUUUUUUAAAAAUGCUAAAAUGUUUGAUGUAUUGUAGAAGUAUAAGUAAUUUAUUACUCAUAAAUUUUAACAACAAAAUCUUAUAUGAACCCUCAAGGGUCGUAUGGACCCCGGUUGAAAAUCACUGCUCUGGGUCAAGACUAUGAGGAGGUCUGAGGGGGUGUCAAAAUGUUCUAGACUACAUGGUCAUCUAAAACAGCAAAUUCAUAGUGUUUCUUAUUUCUUUAUUGCCCACAAGGGACUAAACAUAGAGGGGACAAACAAGGACAGACAAAGACAUUAAGUCGAUUACAUCGACCCCAAUGCGUAACUGGUACUUAAUUUAUCGACCCUGAAAGGAUGAGAGGCAAGGUGGACCUCGGCUGAAUUUGAACUGAGAACGUAACGGCAGACGAAAUACCGCUAGGUAUUUCGCUCGGUGUGCUAACGUUUCUGCCAGCUCGCCGUCUUCAGCACAUUCAUAGUGUUUCUACCAACCGAAUUAUAUACUCGCUUAUAAGUGACGACUGUGCGUUGAUAUUUUUAGAUAUCUUUAAAAAACGACGAUGUGGUUACACCUGAUAUGACUGUUGACCAUAGUGGUCUCUUUGAUCAAAGCUGAGGGUUAAACUACAACGACACAAUCAGUACACAGUAACAUAUAUACAGCUUUCAAAUUUUGGAGCAAGGCCAGCAAUUUUGGGGGAAGGGGUUAAGUCGAUUAUAUUGACCCCCGGUGCUGAACUGGUACUUCUUUGAUCGACCCCCGAAAGGGUGAAAGACAAAAAUCAACUGGGGCGGAAUUUGAACUCAGAACAUGCAGACGGACGAAAUGCUGCUAAGUAUUUUUUCCCGGCGUGUUAACGAUUCUGCCAUCCUGCCGUCUUAAUACACAGUAACAUGUAUAGUAAUAAUACCCUUGUGUUUUUCUCCGUCACAACAUAUGAAUGAGAAAAGAAGGGGUGAUAGCAAACUAGUAGUGGGAUGAUGGAAAUUCUACGGUGGAAAAAAAAUCAAACAGCCUUUCAACUCUGUGAGUGUAUGUGUGUGUAUGUAAAAGGGAGGUAUGUGAAUGUGUGUGUGUAUGCAAUGAAAGUGGGAUGGUGAACAUUCAACGCUGAAAAGAAAAAUCAAACGGCGUUUCAACUCUAUGUAAGUAUAUGUGUGCAUGUGUAUACAAGGGAAAGUAAGUAUGUGAAUGUUUGCAUGUGUGAACCAGCGAACUUUCAGUAACAAACGAUGAUCGAUGUCACAUCUCAAAAGACAACCACUCGAUAACAUUGGUAAAUGUAUUAAUUUGAUUUGCCAUCCAUAUUCUAUCCGUUUUGUUAAAAAUGAUUAUUACAAUCACACACACCUACACAAACAUAUAUAUGUACAGGAGGCGCAAUGGCCCAGUGGUUAGGGCAGCGGACUCGCGGUCAUAGGAUCGCGGUUUCGAUUCCCAGACCGGGCGUUGUGAGUGUUUAUUGAGCGAAAACACCUAAAAGCUCCAUGGAGCUCCGGCAGGGGAUGGUGGUGAUCCCUGCUGUACUCUUUCACCACAACUUUCUCUCACUCUUACUUCCUGUUUCUGUUGUACCUGUAUUUCAAGGGGCGGCCUUGUCACUCUCUGUGUCCCGCUGAAUAUCCCCGAGAACUACGUUAAGGGUGCACGUGUCUGGAGUGCUCAGCCACUUACACGUUAAUUUCACGAGCAGGCUGUUCCGUUGAUUCGGAUCAACCGGAACCCUCAUCGUCGUAACCGACGGAGUGCUUCCAUCCAUAUAUGUACAAACAGAUUUACCUUUCAUUAUGAGCAGGCGGUAGUUCCUUCCCUGCGAUACCAGCUUUUGCCAUGACCAUAAGUAAAUCGCAAGGACAGAGCUUCGAAAAAGUUGGUAUUUACUUGCCAGCUCCUGUAUUUAGUCACGUCCAAGCUUUAUGUGGCUUUAAGUCGUAUAAGAAGAAAGGAAAACUUUAAAAUUCUUUUGAAGGAAACAAGCAAUGAAGAGAUGUUAGUUGCGGGUAGAUUUUUCGCAAAACAUUUGGUAAUAAAAGAAUUAUUAAACUAAAAAUUUGGUUUUGUACCUUAUGUGUAUAUAAAAUACUACAGCGGGAGUGGCUGUGUGGUAAGUAGUUGUUUACCAGCCACAUGAUUCCGGGUUCAGUCCUACUGCGUGGCACCUUGGGCAAGUGUCUUCUACUAUGGCCUCUGGCCGACCAAAGCCUUGUGAGUGGAUUUGGUAGACGGAAACUGAAAAGAAGCCCGUCGUAUAUAUGUAUAUAUAUAUAUUAAUAUAUGUAUGCGUGUGUGUGUUUGUGUGUCUGUGUUUGUCCCCCUAGCAUUGCUUGACAACCGAUGCUGGUGUGUUUAUGACCCCGUUACUUAGCGGUUCGGCAAAAGAGACCGAUAGAAUAAGUACUGGGCUUACGAAAGAAUAAGUCCCGGGGUCGAGUUGCUCGAUUGAAGGCGGUGCUCCAGCAUGGCCGCAGUCAAAUGACUGAAACAAUUAAAAGAAAAAGAAAGAAAGAAAGAAAUUAGCCGUCAUUUUUGACGGUACGGAGUCAGCUAGUGUAUAUAUAUUAAGUGUAGUGUGUGUUCAUGUGCUGCUAGCUACGCUGGUAUCAAAAAAGUUAAUUCAAAACGCUCUUAAGAUUAUGAUUUCAUAAUAAAUAAGUAAUAUACGUGAAAUUCUCAUCGAACCAUGGCUGCAAAUCCCGUCCUUUUGUUACUGUAUUUAUUUUGAGAUGCACUGAGUUUCUUUCAAUUACUUAAAACAAAGGAUUUAGUAAAAAAAAACUUAGUUAUCAUUCAGCUAGUGUUGGGAACAUAAAUUGUGACUAAGCUUUUGUUAGAAGAUUUUAAUUCAGAACUUUUGAAAACAAGAUAUUUUUAUUGAGAGCCAGAGCCGGUUUCAGCCGGGUUGGGAACGAAAGGGUUAAAUUACUGAUCGUAACAGUUUUACGUCAUACGUAAUUGACACUUGAGUGAUUGCUUGUAAUCUUUAUCUGGGCCGAACAUCAUCAGUGAGCAAAUUGUUACUAGUAAGAACCAGGACUCUGACGCAGUUAGCAGAUACGCAGCGUCUGAAUAGGGCCCUGAACUGACGCUGCUCUCUCUCUGUUAACACUGGCUAUAUAUAUAUAUAUAUAUAUAUAUAUAUAUAGCGGUUCGGCAAAAGAGACCGAUAGAAUAAGUACUGGGCUUACAAAGAAUAAGUCCCAGGGUCGAUUUGAUCGACUAAAGGCGGUGCUCCAGCAUGGCCACAGUCAAAUGACUGAAACAAGUAAAAGAGAGUAUAUAUAUAUAUAUAUAUAUAUAUAUAUAUAUAUAUAUAUAUAUAUAUAUAUAUAUAUAUAUAUAUAUAUAUAUAUAUAUAUAUAUAUAUAUAUAUAUAUAUAUAUAUAUAUAUAUAUAUAUAUAUAUAUAUAUAUAUAUAUAUAUAUAUAUAUAUAUAUAUAUAUAUAAACAAGACAAAAUAAGUAAAUACAUUUUUAGGGCCUCCGUUGGUCAUGGCUGACCAUGGAUGAUGUCAUCCGUCCGUUGAGUUGUCUACUCAGUUUUUGCAACGCCUCCUGUGGUUGUAGAGACCGAUGCGAGAGUGGCAGUCUCGUUUGCAGAGGUCACAAACCAUAUUCUUUCGCAUCGUCAGGUUGGCAACUAAUUUGAAGUAUUGAAGGUAGAUUUAAUAUUCCUACAAAGCAUUCCUUAUAUGCAUGGGAGAUUAAACCAAACUUUACCAUUCAUCUUUUGCAGAGGGUAAAAAAAUAAAUUGAAGUAACACAAAUAGUUCUAGCAAUGGAAUAUAUUUUAUGCUAUACAUAAGAGAAAUUCAAAUGUUUAUUUCGAAAUGUGACACAUGAAACCAGUGUAUGCAUCAGCCAAAAUUGAGAGGAUGAUCCGGUUUUUGACUGAAGAUUAAAGGCUUCCAAUGACCAGUCCGUGUUUUUUGAAUCGUCUUCUGGAUGUUUUGCGUUCUUGUCCCAUUUUGUAUAUAUAUAUAUAUAUUUAUAUACACGAACAAAACGCCACCCACCCCCGUCCAAUGGACGGUGCUGAGUUGUCAAACAUUUAAACCAAAUUUUCUGAAAACAACUUGUCCGACCGUCCCAUAGGCCUCCCCUUUGAGAAACACUGAUUUAACCUAAAUUUGAGACACCAGCAAAAGAAGAAAUAAAGAUAGACUUUCUAUUCCAAGAAAAAGGAUUUUACAAAUGCACGUUCCCGCGGCUUUAUCGAUCGCAUUCCCACCUGUAAUUUUUUCAAGACUUAUACACGCCCUGAUACCGUCGGUAUCUACAUGUCAAAUUUGAGCGCAGUCGGAUGAAGGAUGCCCGAGAUCCUAGAAGACACACACACACAGAGACGGAACGGAUUUUAUAUGAUAGGUAUGUGUGUGUGUGUGUGUGUGUGUGUGUGUGUGUGUGUGUGUGUGUGUGUGUGUGUGUGUGUGUGUGUGUGUUUGAGUGUGUGUUUGAGUGUGUGCGCGUGCGUACAUACAGGGAAAGACUGACAGUGGCGAAGCUAAUGCGAAGCGCAACUCUGAAGUCGUCACUAUUAACCUUCUGCACACUUAAUGUCAGUGAAACUCGCGACAUAUCUGAUCCAGCGGGAAAUUUGUGCUUUCAGUAUUCUGCAAUCAGAGAAGGACGUUGACAGGCUACGACGCAAGGCACCAGACAUGAUCGGAAUAUCAAUCAAUACGAGAGCAUAUCCGAAAUAAAGUAAUUCGAGAAAGCUGAUUGAACAAUUUACGAAUUCAGGAUAGUCAAAUACAAAGAGAAACGGGAUAUGAGGUUUAUCUUUGCUUUAUUUAUUUGCAUUUGAAUUUCUCUUCUGUAUAGCAUAAAAUAUAUUCCAUUGCUAGAUGUCUUGCAAACAACUUGCACAUGCAAGUGCUACCAGUUAAAAGCUCCGUAUAUCGGAAGCUAGCAAGUGUAUAGGGUCAUCAGGAGAGAAUGCGCGCCGUUUUGGGGCUUACCUCUCGACGGCAUCAAUGCGCACCGGCCCCCCUCACUGAUAUGAGGCCCCGCUUGCUAGAUCAGCUGGUUGUGAAGUUAAACUCAAUAUCCUUCUAGCCAUCGCUCAUCGUCUCUUUUUAACCAAAUCCAGUGGCUAGCCUUCUCCACUGUAGAUUGGAUAUCAGUCAUGGUGGUAUUGACUUUACGAUGAGUUAGGCCUAACGAUGACAACAGUCAGUUUGGUUUAAUCUCAUGCACAUAAGGAAUGCUUUGUAGGAAUAUUAAAUCUACUUCCAAUACUUCAAAUUAGUUGCCAACCUGACGAUGCGAAACGAAUCACAAAAAUUAAACACAAUUCCAGCAGGUUAGAAAUUCUUUUCUACUCUAGGUACAAGGGCCGAAAUGUUUUGGGAAGGACGCCAGUCGAUUACAUCGACCCCAGUACGCAACUGAUACUUAAUUUAUCAAUUCCGAAAACAUGAAAAGCAAAGUCACCUCAGCGAAAUUUGAACUCAGAACGUAGCGACAGACGAAAUACCUAUUUCUUUACUACCCACAAGGGGCUAAACACAGAGAGGACAAACAAACGGAUUAAGUCGAUUAUAUUGACUCCAGUGCGUAACUGGUACUUAAUUUAUCGACUCCGAAAGGAUGAAAAGCAAAGUCACCUCAGCGAAAUUUGAACUCAAAACGUAGCGGCAGACGAAAUACCUAUUUCUUUACUACCCACAAGGGGCUAAACACAGAGAGGACAAACAAACGGAUUAAGUCGAUUAUAUUGACCCCAGUGCGUAACUGGUACUUAAUUUAUCGACCCCAAAAGGAUGAAAGGCAAAGUCGACCUCGGCGGAAUUUGAACUCAGAACGUAACGGCAGACGAAAUACGGCUACGCAUUUCGCCCGGCGUGCUAACGUUUCUGCCAGCUCGCCGCCUGUCACUGGAAUACACAACGCGCGAGCUGGCAGAAACGUUAGCACGCCGGGCGAAAUGCGUAGCCGUAUUUCGUCUGCCGUUACGUUCUGAGUUCAAAUUCCGCCGAGGUCGACUUUGCCUUUCAUCUAACAAAAUACCGUACACAUUUUGUCGGGCGGAUGCUCUAACAGCCCCGCCAACACACCGUGUUUAUUUUCCAUCACCUUACAGUUCAUCUCGCUAUUGGUGAUACCAAGUCAUCUGCAGACGUUUAAUUUAAAACCAAAAUUUCCUACUCAUUUCAUUCCUCCUUUAUUUAUAGAUCCAGAUUCUUAUAACAGAUUACGGGUUGCGUGAUGACUUCUGUGCAACAGUAGAUUUGUACGUUAAGCCGAUAAUGCACAGGGGUUGGGGUUUCGGAGCAGCAUGUCAAUUAAAGUGUUUCUAUAACGAAUGUUGCGCAUACUUAUUCUGAUCUAUUAUGUGAAAAGUGAUAUAUGGCAAAAGCAUAAAUCUAUGGAUUACAGUCAUUUCGUAUUGUAUGUUUUCCAAAGUAGUUAUACUUAGAUGGCUGCAAGCAUAUACGUGUGUGUAUAAGAGGUUAGUUUUACUACCACAUGGUUCCAAAUCAGAUUCUUUUAUUCGGAGACUUGGACAAAUGUCUCCUUCAUAGAUUCGUGUUGGUUAAUGGCUUAAAAUGAAAUUUGGCUAACGGAAACUGUGAUGGUUGUGUGUGUGUGUGUGUGUGUGUGUGUGUGUGUGUGUGGUGUGUGUUAUGUAUUGUGUGUUGGUAUGUAUGUAUGUAUCGAUAUCGUAGAACAUUAAUUCUCUAACAAUCAAGUGAUGUAAGAAAAUUUGUAUAAAUAUAAAGCGGUAGUUAAAAGAAAGGCACCACAGAAAACCAGAAGCCCUCUAGCAUCCUGAUGAUGAGGCUGAGUUAAUCUGAUAUAUAUAUAUAUAUAUAUAUAUAUAUAUAUAUAUAUAUAUGGAACACCUUUUCUUUUAAACAUAUGUUGAAAAUAUGACUGUUCUAUUUUAAUCUUUUAAAUAUUUCUUUUUUUUCACACCUACUUCCAAGCAAGGAAAAUAGUUCCUUGUGGCCGAACAUGUUUUUACAGAGAACUGGAAAUGACCUCACGCGCACACACACCCUUUAUACAUCUAUACAAGCUUCUUUUAAGUUCCAUCUUCCCUAAAUCCACUCUCAAAUCUUUGAACGGUGAUGUAUUGGGAAGUUAUUUUAUGUAUCUGUUAUCUUUUACUUGUUUCACUUAGUGGACUAUGGCCGUGCUGGGGCACCGCCUUGAAAGGAUUAGUCGAACAAAUCGACACUAGUAGAUAUUUUUUUAGAGUCUGGUACUUAUUUUAUCGGCUUCUUUUACCGAACUGCUAUGUUACGGGAACGUAAAAAAAGCCCAACACCAGUUGUCAUGAGGUGGAGAGGGACAAGCACACAUCUAUAUAUAUUCGACAGGCUUCUUUCAGUUUCCAUCUACCGUAUCCACUCACAAGGCUUUCUUUCAUUACACUGGAAGACACUUGCCCAAGGUACCGGACAGUGGGACCAAACCGAAGGUCACACGGCUGGAAAGCAAGCUUCUAAAUCACUCAUCCCCUUUCAAAAUAGAACAGUUUUUGUUCUCAGUACGAAACGAAUGGGAUUCGUCUUUUAUAACCAUUGUCUUCCCCACCAUCUUAUCCAGCAGAUUGUUAUUGUGACUCUUAUCAUUGUUGUUUAUUUUAUGGUACCCUUAAACAUAAUUCCUUGUUUGUGUAAUAGGAAGUUUUCUUUCUUUUCUCGUUUGUAGCUCACAAAUCACUUAAAAUUUGUUGUUCAAGUAUGUUCAAGUAUGCAAUCACGCACGCGCACACACGCGUAUGCUGUUUUUAUGUGUGACUCGGAGGAGGACGAGCAGUACCUGUAUUAAUUUUCUAAGUCCUCCAAGACCGAUGGGAGUGUAUGUAUGCGUGGGUGAUUCUCCUCAAACCGGACAUCUGACCUUAAUACGUACAACUAUGUAGACCACACGUAAAGUACUCAAGAUCCAAGUAGUGGUGCUAAACUGAGUGACACCAUCACCCGCUUUUUUUUUCUUAUUUGUUUCAGUCAAUAGGCCACGGCUGGCGUGUCCCCGAAUCGCCGCCGCCGCCCGCCUUCCAACGCUCGUAGGUUCGUCCUCUCGCUAUCGAACUCUUUUUUUUUUUUCCGUUUCCACAUUUUCCUCGGCGGGUUUCGUCAAACGUUACUUAUUCGUUUUAAGUUUAGCACUUAUUCCAUUGGGAACGUAAACAAACCAACGCGUUAUCAAGCAGUGGCAGGUGAUAGAGCAAAAAUAAAACGCGUACAUACUUAUAUAUACAACGGGAUUCCAUGUAGUUUCUUUCUACUAAAUUCACUCGCAAAACAUUGGUUGACCCGGAGCUAUAGUAGAAAACACUUGCCCAAGAUGCUUCGUGGUAGAACUGAACUUGGAACCUCGUGUUUGCGAAGCGAACUUUUUAAGCACAACCACAUACACUUUUCACUUGUUUCAAUCAAUGAACUGUGGCCAUGCUGGAGCACUGCCUCAGAUAUAUAUAUAUAUAUAUAUAUAUAUAUAUAUAUAUAUAUAUAGUAUAUAUAUAUAUAUAUAUAGAUAGAUAGAUAGAUGUGAGUGGAUGUUAUAGUACUUUGAAAUUUCCAAUUGAAAUAACUAAGAUCUUUUCUUAAAUUGGAAUCGGUUGGGUGUACUGGGAAAAAAUCUCAAGUUGAAAUUUGAACUCGGAUCGUUUUAUAAUAAGCACUUAAAAAAAUGGUUUCUUAAUCGAUUCUAAUUACGAGCCUUAUUGAAUUUAUGUUAGUUCGUUAAUUUCAAAUUCGUUUAAAAUUGCUUCUGUUUUUAAUUGUAUUCACUGUAAUCUUUCGCUCUCAACCACUAAUAAUGGCUGGCUUGGCCAACAAAAAGUAAAAGAAAAAAACUAUGAUCAAUUUGAAAUUUAAAACGUUGUUGUGAGGGUGGGAGAUUUAUUCGAAAUUUUCAAACCCCUUUAUAUAAUAAAAUACUUAAUAUGUCAUUUAAAAUAUUGUAUCUUAAGCCCCGUCCCUUACACCUCAUCUCCUGGAGGGGCAUGUGAGGAAUAUAAAAGGGUCGGACAAACUGCCAUACUUAAUAAAAUUAAUAUGGUUUUUAAAUUGUCCAAAAACAUGGCAAGGAAGGAAGAAUUAUACGGAUGCAAACUCUGAUUCACUUUCUCAUUAAUGUACGGAUGGGAUAAGGGCUAAAAAAAAUAUCCUUAAUUUUGGGGGUGGUAAGGGUUUGGUGGAGAGGGGAUACAUAUCAGUUUUGCGAAUCGCUUAUUUAAAGCGUUUGAAUACACUCAGGGCCGUUUUUCAAUUUAUUUUACUUUCUAUCUACGCAGUUGUCGAGAGCAUGCUUCCAAUCCAUAGUUCGUAUCAACGCCUGUCUCCCUCUCUAUGUGAUUGAUCAACCAAAUCUCCCUCACAUCAUACUCUAUCGUCUUAAAAUGUGAAGGGCAUACUAGAAAUUGUUCUGGAUCAGGCAUGGCAGACUUUUUUCGAGAAGCGGGUCUCAUAAGACAUGAUUCUUCAUCUGGCGAGCCGCACUAAUAAAAGCAAUUUAAGAUGAUUUUUCGUCUGUGUGCCAUUCAGAAGGACCAGCAGGCCGUACUACACCUUAUCUCUUCUCUCUAUAUAUAAACGGCAGUUUGUCUGUGCGUUUUCUGUGUGUCUGUUUGCUUGUACCCUCACCCUGACCAUUUCUGAUGAAACUUGACACACACAUAGCCCAAUGUCAUAAUUCAAAACUAACGCAGCGAAAAUUUUGAAAAGUUCCCCCAGUUCUGAAAAAAAUCGAUAAAUUCGACAUGGGGUCGAGAAUCAGAAACACAAACCACAGACUGUCUAGGGGACGCAACUCCACCUUUUUUAACUAAAAAAAAAUUUACCAUAAUUUUUUUCCAUUUUUUUGCUAUUUUUUGGCUAUAACUCUCUAAAAAUGCUUUAUAGUUAUUUCCCUUACAAACCUAAGCAACGCCGGGCGAUACUGCUAGUUCUAGAUACAUAUAAAGAAUAGGAUUGUAGUGUUCGAAACAUCGUUGUCUAUUCGUAUAGUGAGUCAGAAAGGGAAAGCUGCUCAGGGUCUGAGUGAUUGCUCAGUCUACCAGAAACAGCAGUGAAGUCCUUGAUUAAUGUAAAUCUGUUUACAUUUCAAAGUAUAAAUGUUAGAAGCAUCGAGAAAUAUAUAAAUUAUUUAACGGUGUAUCUCGAAACGAAUAAUACCUUGUAAUAUAUCUUUAUAUAUAAAAGUGAGGUUGUGUGCUGUCUGUCUCCUACGAUUUAGAUUCCUAACUACUCCCACAUUUUGCGGUGCAGUUAACCAAAACCAGGUAUCUUAUAGUCGUGAUUCAUAUCGAGCCCUUCUGAGUAUUAGCGCGCGUCUACGAUGAGUCUACGAUUUUUAAAAAAAAUUACCAUAAUUUUCCCCAUUUUUAAUGCAUUUUUGGCAUAUAUAAGGGAAGUAACUCUCUAAAAAUUUAUUAUUAAAUCUCAGAACGUAAAAAGCUACAGUAACACCCCUCCUCUGUGGUUAGCCAUAUUGAGAUGGCUAUUAUACUUUACAUCCCUAAAAAUGCUUAUAUAGUUAUUCCCCUUACAAACCCGAGCAACGCCGGGCGAUACUGCUAGUUACAUUAUACAUUAAGGCGGCGAGCUGGUAGAAUCGUUAGCACGGAGGACGAAACGCUUGGCGGCAAUUCGUCCGUCUUUACGUUCUGAGUUCAGAUACCGCCAAGGUUGAUUUUGCCUUUCAAACUUUCGGGGUCGAUAAAAUAAGUACCAGUUGAGCACUGAAGUCGAUGUAAACGAUUUACCCCUUACCCAAAAUUGCUGACUUUGUGCCAAAAUUUGAAACCAAUAUAUUAGGUUAUACAUUUGUACGGAAAAUGCAUGGUUCGCGUCCCGAAAGUAGCUUCCAGCCUUUUUUUUUUCCCCAUCGAAGGUUAUUUUUAACCCAUUAUUAUUACAAGCUAUCACCUACAGUUGUACUAGUUUCGAGAUACGUCGUUAAAAUGAUUUAACACGAUAGUGUAGCUGUAGGUGUCUCUAAAAAGUUGUGAUGGCCUUGAUUGGAUUACUUUUGAUCAUAGGCCUAUUGAAUUUCGGUUAACUUAGGGUUAAACAACAGCAACAAUAUCAACAACGGGCGAUGAUAUUUUUAUUGAGGCCAGUGCCUCUUCACGCCUUCUGCUCCCACACCACGUUUGUUUUUAUUGCAGUGUGGAUUCUUCUCAUACUGCCAUAACUUUUAUCAGCUAAUCAAAUUUAGUGGACCAGAUCCAUAUUAAUUAACUGUUUUAAGCAGUUUGCCAUGCAGUGAAUUUCGGGAGGUUACUCAUUCUCCUUUCAAAUAAUUGAAAUCUCUCUCUCUCUCUCUCUCAUUACCUUCCUUUUCCACCGUCAUCACAAUCCCUCCUCUUGUACCCCCACUUUUUUUUUCGUGAAUAUUCUUCUGUGAAUAAAGCACAUCUUAUUUAUUAAGGGACUUGUAUUUGUCGUGAAUCACAUAUUUGAUUUGAUAUAAUUAGGGCAGACAUAUCUGGUUGGUGGCGUAUGUACACACCAAACUGAAAAGGCAAAUUUAAGCAUUAAAGCAAAUGCGCAUGCGUACACCAUUAUCAGCGUGACCAAUACCACCAUCACCACGACUACUGCUGCUACCAACAAAAAAUUAGUGUUGACGAAGAUGUAUGUAAGCGCUCGCCCGAAACGAAUUGUGUUCCUGCCUGAAUCGUUACAUUGCCGGAUAGAAUGACUUGCAGUAUUUGUUUUGGCUGUCUGCGCACUGAGUUCAAAUCCCGCCUAGGUCAACUUCGCUUGUCAUCCUUUCGGGAGUCGAUUGAAAAAAUUGUAUCAGUCCACGAGAGUAGAUUGGCAGAAUUGAUGGAAGCACUCCAUCGGUUACGACGAUGAGGGUUCCGGUUGAUCCGAAUCAACGGGACAGCCUUCUCGUGAAAUUAACAUGUAAGUGGCUGAGCACUCCACAGACACGUGUACCCUUAACGUAGUUCUCGGGGAUAUUCAGCGUGACACAGAGAGUGACAAGGCCGGCCCUUUGAAAUACAGGUACAACAGAAACAGGAAGUAAGAGUGAGAGAAAGUUGUGGUGAAAGAGUACAGCAGGGAUCACAAUCAACCCCUGCCGGAGCCUCGUGGAGCUUUAGGUGUUUUCGCUCAAUAGACACUCACAACGCCCGGUCUGGGAAUCGAAACCGCGAUUCUAUGACCGCGAGUCCGCUGCCCUAACCACUGGGCCAUUGCGCCUCUACUGGCAGAAUUGAAGAACGUCGGACACGAUGCCAUUGCAGUAGUUGUCUCGGUUCUCUAUGUUCUGAGUUUGAACCCCGACAUAGUUCACAUCGGUGAUUGACUUAAUCUGUUGCCCAGUAUAUCGCCAUCACCUGAUACAAUGGGUACCGUCAGCGCAGUCCACUCUGUUGCAUUCGGGAAAAAGUUUUUAGUUUUAGGAUAUCUCCCACUCUCCAGUCUUGGAGAUCAUGUAACUUGACGCUGGGUACUGCGCUCGUUCUUACGGUCAUCGUAGCCAUUCUGUUAUUGUUUAGUUCCAGGACUAAAUGAACCUAUGAUCUAAAGUAUUCCAACGAUGACCUUUCGCAUUUUAUGUGUAUGGAGCGCUAUAUCAUAUGACUAGCAGUAUCGCCCGGAGUUGCUCGGGUAUGUAAGGGAAAUAACUAUAUAAGCAUUUUUAGAGAGUUAUAGCCAAAAAGUAGCAAAAAAAAAUGCAUUAAAAAUGGAAAAAAAAUGAUGGUAAUUUUUUUUUAAAUCGUUGACUCAUCGUAGACAUUUUUAGAGAGUUACUUCCCUUAUAUAAUAGCGAAAAAAUGCAUUAAAAUGGGAAAAAAUGAUGGUAAUUUUUUUGGUUAAACUGCACCGCAAAAUGUGGGAGUAGUUAGGAAUCUAAAUCGUAGGAGACAGACACACAACUUCACUUUUAUAUAUAAAGAUAUGCCCUGUACAUUUAUAUCUUUGUUUGUCCUGUGUAUCACAUGUGAUACACGGGACAUGAUUUCCUUGACGUCCAUGCAUCAUAUAUGAUAAAUAUUCCCAAUUUUUUUUCAACCACCAGAGUAACUUAGAACUUACGAUAGGAAAACUUUACAUUACUCAGAACAUAUGAAAACAAGGGCUAACUAAAAGUCUGAAAACAAGCUUAGGCAUUUAGGAAAAAGCUUACGAAAAUGCUUUGGACAGGCAAAGGGUUAAAUAAAACAGAAGAUUUAACUGCUAUUUCAAAUGGUUCGAACAACCAGAUGAAAGGUUGGUUCCCUUGUUGGCUUUUGUUGAUAUUGUUACUAUUGUUAAUGUUAAUAGGUUUUUAUUCUUUGGUACUUACCAGUUAAUGAAUUCGCCCGUUCCAUCUCCAGUAGAGCUAAAUAAAUGAAUGAAUGACUGACUGAAUGCAAUAUAUAAAUAAAUAAAUAAAUAAACCAGCAUUGUUAUUAGAUGUAAACGAGCGAGAAUAUUAUAAUAAAGGACACAUUCAGGUUAUUUUCAGGAUGAUAUCCUAUUGAAAUAUAUACAGGUUUGAGCACGAGUAUAUAACGUUAUUUCUUAUUUAACGGACCCCUUAGACGCCUUCUAUAUUUGCUUUAAACAAGCUCUCUCUCUCUCUCUCUUACACACAAAUAACUUUAUUUCUGUCAGAGCCAGCCAAGUUUUAUGAUAUUCUUCUUUUUUACUUUUUGGUCUCACUUAUUGAAUUGUGCCAUAGUUGGUAUCGUCUUGAAGGGUUUAGUUAAAUCAAUCAUACAUACAUACUCCAGUACUUAUUUUCGGCCUGGUCCGAUAUUAUGAAUAGUAAAGUUGUCUCUCGGCAUUAAUGGAUGUAACUCGGCGCGCUAUUUACUCUGGUACACACACAAGUUUUACAGCCAAACCAUUUAGCUGCUUCUUUGAAAACUAUUCUAAAACAGGGAUUCAUUUUACACACACACACCCAUAUAUAUAUAUAUAUAUAUAUAUAUAUAUAUAUAUAAUAGGAAUGUGAACUGACGGUUACCAGAACAAACAAAAAUUACGCUAAUACAAUUCAGUAUUUCUAUGAUGAGGAAUUUUAUAUGUAUUGGUCGGGGUGGUUUUCUCAUCUUGGUUAUUGCUUUCCACUACGUUCCGGCUGUGUACGCUCCAGCCCUCUUCAGGUGUCUUUUGAUUCACCUUAAAGCCUUGCCUGGGAUUGAACUUAGAACCUCUAGGCAUUACAUUAACAAGACACCUGAAGAAGGCUGGAGCGUACACAGCUGAAAAACGUAGUGAAAAACAACCAAUAUAAGGAUACCUAUCCGACUAAUAGAAAAUAAGUAAGUUCUCAUCAGAUACCUCGAUUAGCAUUUCCAGUUUGAGACGUGUACACGUUGACCCCCCCCCCUCAUCAGUUGUCCAUUGGAAAUUACUAUUAAAAUUUUGUUUAUUCUGUGACGACGGGUUUCUGUACGGUUUGCGUCUAUCAAAAUCCAGUCAGAAGUUAUUGGCAAAUCCAAGGCUAUGGUACAGGACACUUGCCUAAGGCGUCGCUUAUCAUAUCAAUUUGUAAAAGAUUUAUUGCUAGUGAAUAUGAGUGCGUACAUACACACUUUAAAGAGAGUAAAGCCAAAUAUAAUGUCUGAUGUAUUUUAACUUCUGAAACAACUAAACUGUGUAGAUCAUGUUAUAUAUUUUAAUAGCGAAACAAGUCGGUGGAUUUGGCUUUAAUAUGCAUUGGAAUUUGAAUUUUAUAAUCUAAGAAUUGUUCCGUACGAGUUGUUUUGAUCUUUGCUAAAUAUGCCUUUUUUCUCUGCGUCGUUUCACUGAAAAUCCUUUUUUAUUGUUACCUUAUAGUUGUUUUACUUGUAAUAUUAAGUACAUCGCAUAUUACCUUAGUUGGAUUUGAUCCAAAUAUUUCCACUAGAUUUAAGAACUUAUUGAUUUUCCUAUCUGUAAAGGAACCACACUUGCUGAAAUUCUAAAUUAUUUUACAAGAUUGCAUCAAAGAAUAUUUCGCAUGAGAAGAGCGUGGCUUUUUUGGCAAAGUGUACAAAAUGUUCAAAGAAGUGAGAGAGAGAGAGAGUCAAGUUAUUUUUAAAUGCUUUACUUUAUUUCUAAAGAAUAUGGAAUUUAGUUUGGUUGAAAUGCUUGAGAAAUUUUACGUAAAAUAUUCACGUAAUUAGUUCUGGAAACUUGUUACCUACGUUCGGUUUACAAGGGGGGUAUUUUUAAAAAUAGACUUUUUAACCUAAGAAAAGGGGCAAGAUAUAAUUAUUUUCUCAGAAAUAGUUAAUGGUAAGUAGUACCUACCAUAGAGUGGAAAGCAAGUCUCUCUCUCGGCACGCAAAUCUACGAUUCGGUGUCGAUUUGAGGCUGCGUAUAAUCUUCAGUUAUGUUCCUAAUAUCUUUGGUGGAAGGCCUAAGUGUAAUAAUUCUUAGUUUCUUAACACUUGAUCUUAUAUUGCACGCCUAUCUAAGAAACAGUUGCAUGUGACACCAGUCAUUGCCCCACUGAGACAACCGAAAAUUAUACUAUUUACUGGUAAGGCAUCUUAAAUAGAAAUCACAGUCGAAAGUUUUUUGGUCUAGGACUAUUUUGAAUAAAUAGCUUCUAUUAUGGAUCAGAUACUUAAAUUCUAAGAAGGAAAAACUAGAAAAAAAUGUUGAAAUUGUUCAGUUUUCCACUCAAAUUAGUUUGUCGUGUUGUCUGUACUUCCUGAUCUCACUUUGAAUGUGCGGGUAUCUUUUUAGUUAUUUCUUUAUUACCCACUAGGGGCGACACAGAGGUGGACACCAAAAGACAUGGGGACAUAGAACAUUUAUAAUUAAAAUUUAUGAAAAAUGAAUUGUUAAGUGAAAGAAAAUGAUAUUAUGAAAGCGAUACCAAGGGUAUCUUUUUAGUGUUCCACCGCACAACUGAAAAUUCCUUUCUACUGCAGGUACAAAAGACUGAAAUUUGGAGGAAUGGUGUAGUCGAUUACAUCAACCCCAAUAAGCCAUUCCAUUUAAUUCAUUAUAAAUAAUUCAUUUCAUUCUUUUUGAUUUUUUUUAUUAUGUGUACCCCAUGUCUGUUGUAAUGUCCCCUCUUAAUUCGGGCCAUGUGCCUAUAAUAAAGAUUUUAUCGACCCCCAAUAAUUAACUGGCAUUUAUUUAAUCGACCCCGAAACGAUAAAAGGCAAAGUCGACUUCGAUAGAAUUUGAACUCAGAACGCAAAGUCGAAAGAAACGACACUAAGCAUUUUGUCCGGCGUGCUAACGAUUCUGCAGUUUGCAACCUUUCACAACACAGAUAAUGGUUUCAAAUUUUGGCGCAAAGACAGCAAUUUCGACUAAGUGUCGCGCAUCGGCUGCGUCAGCGCCCGCAAAGACGCUCGACAUGCACCGCACGCUUUGCACCAAAUAAUGAACCACCGCUCAGCGACGGCCUGAUCCCUUCACUAUCGGAUAAGCCGGAUUAGGUCGACCCCAGUACUCAACUGGUACUUAUUUUAUCGACCCCAAAAGGCUGAAAGGCAAAGUCGACCUCAGCGGAAUCUUAACUCAGAAGGUGAAGACGGACGAAAUACUUACUAAACAUUUUGCCCGGCAUGGCUUAACGAUUCUUCUGCCUGCUAAGCGCCUUUUUUCACAACACAGAUAAUAAGGCAACCAAUCGGUUUUGGUUUCCAGAAAGUAAAAGACUGUAUGCUUGGUAACUUCUGUAAAACAUUUUUAUUUCUUUGCUUUCUAUUUCAGCUUACACACAGACCUCUACAUACAUGCACACAUUCAUUUGCAUACACAAAAAUACAUAAAACAAAAGCGAUUCGUGAAAUCAGAAGACCUGUAUAUUUAUGUGUGUGUGUGUUCGAUUGUCAUUUUCACUGUUCAGCUGCAAACAAAUAAACAUUUAAAACAUAAAACUUACACGGAACUUGCCGAACAUAUAGUUUUACUUUCUUGAGACCAAAACCGAUUGAUUGCCAUAAGGCGAUAAUAAAUACAUGAGUUAGAAUUUCUGUCCCGAGACACGAACCAGCAGAGAAAUUAUUGUAAUAUUCACGCUUGAGUUUUUAUUUAAGUUUAUUUUAUCGACAUCCUCCUUCUUCAGCGUUCUCCGAAAUAAUUGAAAACCGUAAAGGAAACUCUAGAAAACAUAACUUGACUUCCGAACGAUUAUGUGAAACAUUUAGUCAGGUCAUCAAGCAUCUAAACUACUUCUUCAAUAUAGUUUAUUUUAUAAAUAAAGUUUAAAUAGCGACCUACAUGUAUUUGCGGGUGGGAGAAUGAAAAGUGUUCACAUGUCACUUUUGGUACAGAUCUAGCUGUUAGUUGAUAAUUUAUCUAACUUGUUCUUUACAUCAAGAGUUGAGAAAGUGAUGCCUUUGGUUCUAUUAAAUGUGGAUGGAGCUAAUAAAUAAGAAGGCGGCGGUGGGUGAGUGAGUGAAUGAAUGAAAUGAAUGAUUUGUAAGAAUCUACACAGAACAGAUGCUUACCUAUGGAUACCGACACACGUUGGCAUGCAUAAACAUGACAGAGUAGGAAAGCUCUUAUUCGUCUCCUUUACUUCAUAGCUUUUACUUGAAUUCUUAAAGAUGUUUUUUGUACAUAUAUAUGUUGAAGUAUGUAGCUUUUCCCUCUCCUUACUAUUUUCUUUUUUUUCCUUUACGUUGCUUAAUUUGCUGUAGGCUUUUAGAGGGAACUUAAACACGCAGCUGUCAUCAUCAGCAAUUAUUUGUUACCGUCAUACUUUGUAUGUUUUACUAAGUCUCUUGAAAUGUCGUGUGUGUGUGUGUAUGUAUGUAUGUAUAUGGUGUGUGAGUGUAUUUAGAAGGUUGAUUGUUAUGGCCUACCAGAGCGACCGGCUGUAAUAAUCAAGUAUUUAAAAAAAUAUUUUACUACUCUAAAGUUUUAAAAGUGUGCUUCUUUUUCUGAGUGGCUGUGUGGUAAGUAGCUUGCUAACUAACCACAUGGUUCCAGGUUCAGUCCACUGCGUGGCAUCUUGGGCAAGUGUCUUCUGCUAUAGCCCCGGGCCGACCAAUGCCUUGUGAGUAGAUUUGGUAGACGGAAACUGAAAGAAGCCUGUCGUAUAUAUGUGUGUAUAUAUAUAUAUAUAUAUAUAUAUAUAUGUGUGUGUUUGUGUGUCUGUGUUUCUCCCCCUAGCAUUGCUUGACCACCGAUGCUGGUGUGUUUACGUCCCCGUCACUUAGCGGUUCGGCAAAAGAGACCGAUAGGAUAAGUACUGGGCUUACAAAGAAUAAGUCCCGGGUCGAUUUGCUCGACUAAAGGCGGUGCUCCAGCAUGGCCGCAGUCAAAUGACAAACAAGUAAAAUAGUAAAAUAGUAGUAAAUGUAAAAUACAAAAUGGGACAAGAACGCAAAACAUCCGGACAACUAGGUGAUACAAAAAGGGACAACAAAACAUCCAGAUAGACGAUACAAAAAAACAAGGACGGGUCAUUCGAAGCUUUCUAUCCUCAGUCAAGAACCGGAUCAUCCUCGCAAUUUCGGCUAUACACACACACACACACGUCUGUGUGGUUAAGAAGUUCGCUUCGCAAGCACAUGAUUUCAGAUUUUUUGUACUAUGCAAUAUUUUGGGUGUCUUCAACUAUAAUUCCGACCUACAAAUGCCUUGUGAGUACAUUUGGUUCACAGAAGUUGUGUGAACCGUCGUGUACUUGUACGUAUAUUUUUGUGUUUGUUCGUCCACCGCUUGACAAACGGGGUUGGUUUGUUUACAUCCUCGUAAAGUAGCGUUUCAGCGAAGGGGUGGAAUAAAUACCAGACUUUGGAUCGAUUUUUUUUUUCAAGAUAGCGCCCCAGUAUGACUGCAGUCCAGUGACUAAAACAGGCAUAGUUAUGUGGUUUCGAGAUCAAUCUCACUGCACGGUACCUAGGGCGGGUGUCUUUUACUAUAACCCCUGUCUGGAGCAGGAAAAAUGCAAUUUUAGAAUGUCUAUGCAAUUAGGAAUGACCUAGAGUCAAAUAAUAACACUAACACAUCAAAAGUUCAAAGAUGUUUCGAACCUAGAAGCUCAUUAAGUCGGAGCCCAUACCAGUUUCCGUGGUGUUAAAGGGAUUGAGAACACAAGACCCCCCACACACACACCUCCUUCUGAAUAGUCCGUCGCAAAGUUACUUCUUGACUCAGCUAUCGCUGAUAUUAACGUAUCAUGAAAUUAAGAGCCCUACCUAGUAGGCGUAUACCUAUUUCUUUAUUAACCACAAGGGGCUAAACAUAGAAGGGACAAACAAGGACAAACAAACGGAUUAUGUCGAUUACAUCGACUCCAGUGCGUAACUGGUACUUUAUUUAUCGACCCCGAAAGGAUGAAAGGCAAAGUCGACCUCGGCGGAAUUUGAACUCAGAACGCAGCGGCGGACGAAAUACCUAUUUCUUUAUUACCCACAAGGGGCUAAACACAGAGGGGACAAACAAGGACAAACAAACGGAUUAUGUCGAUUACAUCGACUCCAGUGCGUGACUGGUACUUAAUUUAUCGACCCCGAAAGGAUGAAAGGCAAAGUCGACCUCGGCGGAAUUUGAACUCAGAACGCAGCGGCGGACGAAAUACCACAAAGCAUUUCGCCCGGCGUGCUAACGCUUCUCUGCCAGUUCGCUGCCUUUAGUAGGCGUAUACCAUUCCGCUCGGAAUCGAACCUAUGACGGUAGUCAGUCUAAUACCCUAAUCACUAAGCAAGAAUAAAGAGGCACGAAAAGCCAAAAUAGCACUGGUAAUUAUGAGUUUACCAUUUUAGAUACCCCAGCGUCAAAAUUCUUUAAUGUCUGUGCUGUGUUGCUAUUUUAAUAGAAUUUCAUUAUAGUAUCUGUGUGUUAUUGUGAUUCUUUUUGAAAUAUUUCAAAAUCGUCAAAAUCUGGAACCUAUCAACACGUUACCAGUUACAGUUUAUUAAUACUCACUCUCUGUCUCUCACGUUAUUUUUUCGCAAUUAUAACUGACCUCUGCUGAAUAUGUUAUAGUUAACUUUAAUGGCACAUGUUCGCGCUCUAGAGAGUUCUUUUGUCUUUUAUCUAUUUUAUUCAUAUUAUUUGCAAAUUCUUUUCUAAAACAAUUGACUUUACAGAGAGAGAGAGAGAGGUGGGGUAAACAUUUUUCUCGAAAGUUUUAAAGAUGUCACGUAUUGGUGUCGACAUUUUGCUAUGCUAUGCUGUGCGCUUUGCAAAGAGAGAGAUACAUGUGUGUAUAAAUUACUGCCAUCUCCUUUUAGUUUGUCUUCUAAUUUGUCCUCCCGUCCAUCUCUUCCCUCUUUCGAUCUCACUUCAUUUGAUCGUUUGUCGUUAUUUCGUCUGUCUAACAUCCUAAUAAAUUAGCAUAGAUUAUCCUUUUUUUUUUGUUUUAUUAUUCAUUCUACGCCAUCUACAUACUCACCGCAUGUUGUUCGUUAUCCAUCUUCAUCUUUCUUGCAAUUAUUUACUCGAUCAGUUUUCUUUUUUUUAUACUUUCCGCAUAUCAUCCUUUUAUUCUUUUUUUUUUUUUUUUACUCUUCCUUUCGGCUGUUGACAUCUAUUCUUUUCUAUAUUUUUUAAAUUUGUAUGUUUUUACACAACAUUUCUCUCCUUUUAAACUAUCGUCUGCUUUUUCUCCUUGUCAUUUUCUCUCUACACCGGAAGACAUAUGACUUAGAUGACAGCCGAAGUUUUAAAAGUGUGAAGAGAGUCGUCGUAUGUUAAAUUCAAUUUACUGAAAGGCACUAACAUUUCGGAUUUUGUGGAAAUAAGAUAGUUAAUUAUAAAUUCAAGUAGCGUUUAUACGAUAAAACAUUAUGUAAUAUAUUCUGUAGCUUUCUCGUAUUGACGGAGCUUUUAUUUAGCUAUAUAACUUAAGUUUGUUUUAACUAAGGAAAAUAUUUCGAUAACGUUAAAGAAAGUGACAGUGUUACAUAUAUUAUAACUAGUGAAUGUCAGUUCGAUUAUCAAUUAGCUCAUUUGUAUACGAGUUGGCGAGAGUCACAAAUGGACAAGGCGAGAAGAUGUAGUGGAAAAUGUGUCGAGUGCAACUUGUGGUGUUUAUGAGCAAAUACAUUUAAAACCAACGAGCGAGGCACUACGUGGUUACUUGUUAGAAAUAUCUGUAGAAUUCCCUCAAAUCACACAUAGUCUUUAAAAUGGAAAGAUAUUAGAUGUCUUAAUGUAAAACAUACAUGAUAGUCAUGACUGGAAUGCUUUUGACCUGGGACUAAACAGUAACGAGCAAAAUCGAUACAGCCACUCAUCAUUUUCCUCUGGAUUUUCACCAUUCCAGUGCAAAUGAUUAAUUAAGGAUAAAAAUGAUUUCAUUUAGGUGAGAAUCUACAAAUUAGCAAAAUUUAAAUGUCAUGAAAUAAAUGAUGCUGCAAACAUUACGAAACAUUAUCAGCUCCAAUCAAAUAUAAUUACUAGAAUUUAAGGUUUGCAUUGACAAAACCAGAAAUGUUUGCUGUUUCUAUUUACUGAACGCAAACGACAUUUAUUUUUAUUUUUUUAUAAAUAAUGUGACAGCUUACGAACUAAUUUAUCAUUAUUAUAGCUUUUCUUUUCUCCCUAUCUUCUUUUUUUCUCGUGAUAUUGAGAGAAAAAUCCUAUUUAAUAGCAAGUUCAAUUAAUGAAGUCGAAUGAACUGCUAAACGGGGAAACUUGAUUCUUGCAUAUCAAAAGUAUUACAAUCUAAUUUUCAAACGUUUGUCUGUUAAUAUUAAUCGAUUUACAUUAUUACAACAAUAGAUAACUAAAUAAAAAAUCAAGUCUUAAAAUAACGAGCGUUUUUUAAAGCCAUAAAUAUGAAAGCAGUAUAAUUUUUAAUCUACCUCUUACUUCAGAUAACCUUCAACUCGAAAUCUAAAUUAUCGAAUAACCAGCACGAUUUUCGGAUUACAAAUUCUCUUUCAAUAUGGCUUUAGUGCUCUUUAAAGAUAAACGAUCUGGAGUGGGGCAAAAAAAAAAAAAAAAAAAAUGGCGUGUCAAAGAUAUUGAAUUUGUUCAUUCAGUAUUCAAGUUUCGCAAACCGAUUAUUUAUAUUUAAAAUUGCUGUUUUAUCGUUUUCUAAUCCCGACUAAUUGCUCUUAUAUUUCUCGAGUAAAUCCUGGAGUGUAGUACGGGUUUGAGGGUACCGUAUGUUUUUUUUUUUUUCCUUUGUCGACCGGAAUCAGUUUCACUGAGUAAUAUAUGUAAUUUCACAUAAAUAUGGGUCGCAUUUGUGAGCACGAGAGUUAAAAGCCUCUCUUGGGAACCCAAAUCCUCAGCUUCAAUUUGAUUUACUGCCAUUGUAGUUGUUUAACUUCAGUUAUAUUGCUUAUACAUUUAAGAAAAAAAGUACGAGUUUUUCACAGUACUAUUUUCUCUUAUUUUGUAAAAUUUCGAUCCAUAUUGAUCUCUGUUGGAGAUCAAUAUGGAACGAAUAGCGUAGUUUUUACUGCGGACAGACAUCUCAUUAGAUACAGCAGUUGGUGCUACUUUAGCGUGCGUUCUAGCGCAGUAUCCAUAGGCUAUGCAGUGAAAUGACCUGAUCUUGUGGAUGAAGUUAGGUAAACGAAAACGGAACUUAUAGAAAGAUGGGUUGCACCAGCAAAUUCAAAUAUCAAAUCCCCGGAACAUUGUGUUACGCUGGUUCUGCUUGAGAAUUACGUUAUGGAUACACAAAAGCAAGUUCAAUUGAACGUACAACUAGAUACUCAUCGUCGAGACUGACGGAGAUGCAGUUACCUCUAGGUGACAGAAGAAUGAAAAAAAACUUUGUGAGCAAUAUGUUCUCCUACCAAAGUGUAUUUAUUUGGUCGGUGUCGUUGAUAGACCUUAGAUACAAACUGGCACGUUUAUUCAAGCUGAGCCUACAAAUACUACAGCGUUACUUAUAACAUACUAGGGCGAUGGAAUGGCAAAAUCGUUAGAUCGUUGGACAAAAUAAUUUCUAAGGUAUUUGUUCUGGUUCAUUGUUCUAAAUUCAAGUCCUGCCGAGUUUAACUUUGCCUUUCGUCCUUUCAGGGUCGAUAAAAUAAAGUACCAAUUGAAUACUGGUGUCGAUGCGAACUUUAUUCCUAAAUCAGUAACCAUUAUUUAAGGCAUACUAGAAUGGUAGAUUGUGGGAUCGUUAGAGCAUUGGACAAAAUGAUUGCCUUACAAUAUUUAUCUUGGAUCAAUGUUCUGAGUUCAAAUCUCGCCGAAGUGAACUGUGUCAGUCAUCCCUCUGAGUUCGAUAAAGUAUGCUACUAGCCAAGAACUGUUCCUGUGCAUGUGUUAGAAACAAAAUUUAUGGCAUAUUUCUGUAUAAAAGAAAAUGUAUUUACUUUUAUAAAACUCUAAAUCAACGUUCUCAAUUGCAGCUCCCAGGGCUGCAUGCGACAUCCAAUUAUAAUUUCAGCGACCCUCUAAGCUCUUCCCUUUGUAAAUAUAACUUUUUCUUUAAUUGACUUGUGUUUUACUUUGGUUUGGUUACAGCACUAUAAAAAAAAAAUUCAGGCUUUGGAUCUGGUCCGCAUAUUAAAAAGGUUGAAAACCACUGAUCGGAACUGUCUGUAAUACUAUGAUAUAGUGGAAAGCGGUGAGCUGGCAGAAACGUUAGCACGCCGGGCGAAAUGCGUAGCCGUAUUUCGUCUGCCGUUACGUUCUGAGUUCAAAUUCCGCCGAGGUCGACUUUGCCUUUCAUCCUUUCGGGGUCGAUAAAUUAAGUACCAGUUACGCACUGGGGUCGAUGUAAUCGACUUAAUCCGUUUGUCUGUCCUUGUUUGUCCCCUCUGUGUUUAGCCCCUUGUGGAUAGUAAAGAAAUAGGUAUGUCGUAUGCCGUUACGUUCUGAGUUCAAAUUCCGCCGAGGUCGACUUUGCCUUUCAUCCUUUCGGGGUCGAUAAAUUAAGUACCAGUUACGCACUGGGGUCGAUGUAGUCGACUUAAUCCGUUUAUCUGUCCUGUCUGUGUUUAGCCCCUUAUGGGUAAUAAAGAAACAGAUAUUUCAUCCGUCCUUACGUUCUGAGUUCAAAUUCCGCCGAGGUCGACUUUGUCAUACUUUCGGGGUCGAUGUAAUCGACUAUCCCUCUCCCCCGAAAUAUCUAGCCCCGUACUAAAAUUUGAAAUCAUUCUCAUAUUACCCAGUAAGGUGUUGUUUUUUUUUUUUUUUUUUUUUUUUUUUAUUUAACUUUCAGAUCACUAGUUUCUUUUCAUUUCUCACUUAAAGCGUUUAAGUGUAUCUGUUUUAGAAACCCCAGAUUGUUUUCUUACAAUAGUUUCAGCUGUUUCCCUUACCUUAACAAAUAUAUAUUUUCAUAUUUACUCUUUGCGGUUUGCGUCGUAAAAGGAACAGAAAAUAAAGCCCAAUAAAAAAAGCCCAACAGUUUCUAAAGUCGUAGGCAUAUUCACGUUCGUACGUAUGUGUAUAUAUUUGGAUGCACGUACACAUAUUUAACGUCUUAACUCCGCGAACAGUUUAGCUAAUCUGCUAAACAAAUAUCUUGAAAAAUAAAGAUUCAUGAAUGAUAUAUGUACGUAGCUUUUACCAAACAUAUUCUUCUCAUCCGCCAACCCUCUACUUGUCCGCCUUGCCUCCUCAAACAAAGAAAAUAAAAAUAUAACAAAGUCCUCUCGUACCCUCAUUCAACAACCACUCAUAUUAAACGCACCCGUAUUACAAAUGUGCGCCAACAAAUAGUCGCUCUAUUACCUUUUCUUCCUCUUUAUAUCUUCUAUUAUUUCUUUCUUAAACUGUCUAUACAUUUUUAUCAUUCUAUAUCUUAUUCAUAACUUACUAUUUUCACUCAAGGCACAUUUCCUUCUUGCUCGAAUGAAAAACAGUUGCUAUCCCAGUGUAGAAGCAGAUACCCUACCCCAAAACUUUUUUUCUUUUGCUUUAUUUUUAUUAUUUUUUUUUCUGUCUUAUUCUCUUUUUACACGCUUCUUCAGCUACGAAUAUGCAGUUCCACUGACUCGCUCUUUGCAACUACCAUUACCAUAUUACAAUCCUCUCACUUUCCGAAGUAUAUAUAUAUAUAUACACACAACACACACACACAGGUAUGUAUAUAUAUAUAUAUAUAUAUAUAUAUAUAUAUAUAUAUAUAUAUACACACAUAUAUAUGUAUAUAUUGGCAGGGCUUACUGCUAGGGAGUCGGCCGUAUGUUAGAAAUAGACCAUCAACGAUCAAACUACAAGGAAAUUCUCUAGAGGAAAAAUACAGCGAACACCAGAACCAAAUUUGGCGGGCAGGACAGAUGAAAAUUUAUAUAAAAAACAGAAUUAAAUGCAUACCUCGGUUUCGGCCUUUAACAAAAGAAUUACUUACGUAAUUCAAAUGUCCAUGCUUCUUCAGUGCAUAUAUAUAUACUAGCAGUAUCGCCCGGCGUUGCUCGGGUUUGUAAGGGAAAUAACUAUAAAGCAUUUUUAGAGAGUUAUAGCCAAAAAAUAGCAAAAAAAUGGGGAAAAAAAUGAUGGUAAAUUUUUUUGAGUUAAAAAGGUCGAGUUGCGUCCCCUAGACAGUCUGUGGUUUGUGUUUCUGAUUCUCGACCCCAUGUCGAAUUUAUCGAUUUUUUUCAGAACUAGGGGAACUUUUCAAAAUUUUCGCUGCGUUAGUUUUGAAUUAUGACAUUGGGCUAUGUGUGUGUCAAGUUUCAUCAGAAUCGGUUGAAAGCUGUGGUCAGGGUGAGGGUACAACCUAACAGACACACAGAAACACACACAGACAAACUGCCGUUUAUAUAUAGAGAGAAGAGAUAAUCUUUCACACGUACAUUGUGUCCGUCUGUCUCUAUAUUUUUUUCCUCUUUCACAUGUUUAUACGUGUGCAUGUGUUUCAUAAACGCAGUAUGUAUGGCUCAAAGGUUAAGAAGUUUGCUUCGUAACUACAAAAAUCUUUAUUAUAGGCAUAUAACCUGAAUUGCUUCGUAACUACAAGGCAUCUGGUUUUCGAUCCUACUGUAAAUAUUCUUGGGUGAAAAUGUCCUUUUCUAUAUACCCUCGGGUCGAUCCAUUUGACUCUCCCAAUAAUCAAUCAACUGAUAUACGUCUGAAUAAAAGACUAUACAGCAGAACGAAAUGAUUUUUUUUUAACUGCAAGUGAGUAAUAAUGCAGUAGUUGAUUGUUGCAGUUUCCUGAAAGAUGUGAGCAACACUUGGAAACUCAUUCAUAGCAACCCAGUGAAUUGGAUGAUGCAGGAUGUCCCGUUAGUCUGGAAAUAGACGAACCCAGAUAUAUACAUUAAGGCGGCGAGCUGGCAGAAACGUUAGCACGCUGGGCGAAAUGCUUAGCGAUAUUUCGUCUGCCGUUACGUUCUGAGUUCAAAUUCCGCCGAGGUCAACUUUGCCUUUCAUCGUUUCCGGGUCGAUAAAUUAAGUACCAGUUACGCACUGGGGUCGAUGUAAUCGACUUAAUCCCUUUGUCUGUCUUUGUUUGUCCCCUCUGUGUUUAGCCCCUUGUGGGUAGUAAAGAAAUAGAUAUUUCGUCUGCCGUUACGUUCUGAGUUCAAAUUCCGCCGAGCUCCACUUUGCCUUUCAUUCUUUCGGGGUCGAUAAAUGAAGUACCAGUUACGCACUGGGGUCGAUGUAAUCGACUUAAUCCCUUUGUCUGUCCUUGUUUGUCCCCUCUGUGUUUAGCCCCUUGUGGGUAGUAAAGAAAUAUAUACAUUGGGAAUAUCAUCGAAAAGAGUGGCACGAAGGGCAGUGAGUACUCGGUGCACAAGAAAGGUGUACAGGUAAACGCUGUCCGAUUGAGGUCUUCGAUCGCAUUCGCGAAACACUUUGGUUCAAGCAUUGGGUACUCCCAGAUACCUGCUUGAUAUCCCGUGGGUGGGCUUCAUGUAUGGGUUUAGGCAACUUCUGUUUUAUCUGUUACUUGUUUCUGUCAUUAGGCUGCUGCCAUGCUGGAGUACCGCCUUGAAAAAGUUUUAGUCGAAUGACUCGACCCCAGUAUGUACUUUGAAGGCCUGGUAUUUAUUCUAUCGGUUCUAUUGCUGAAUCGCUCAGUUACAGGAACGUAAACACACCAACACUGGUUGUCAAUUGGUGGCGGAACACACAAGCACGCGUGCGCGCUUAUAUACGACGGGUUUCUUUUAGUUUCCGUUUGCCAAAUCCACUCACAAAGCUUUGGUAAGCCUUGGGCUAUAGUAAAAGACAUUUGCCGAUGGUUCUACGCAGAGGGACUUAAACCCGGUAUCAUGCGGUUGGAAAGCAAACUUCUUAGAUCCAAACGAUUACAGCAUCCAUACACAGACUACAGAGGGCCCAUGAGGGGUAAUUGGGCGACAACGAAGGACUACUGAUGCUUCAUUUACAUAAUACCUUCAUGAGUAUAAGUCGGAAGCAAAUUCAGAGAACGUCAAAACCUAUUCACGAACCUCAUUUCAUGCAUCAAUGACUCUCAUGUUUUCUUGUAAUUGUUAUUGUUUUCUUGUGCAAAAUAUCUGUACGGUUUACAUGUUAUAUUAAAUAUAUGUACCAGGGCUUCCUUCCAUACAUUGGUUUUGUCAUAUUGUUUAUAUAAAGUUAUGAGAUGUCAUCCUCGUCACUUCCGAUCAAUUUUUUUUUUUUUUAAGGAUACUAGUCGGCAUGUUAACCUACUUUGUGUGUGGGAUGCUCAGCUAUAUAUAUGCGUUAAUGCAGGAGUUGGUUAUUCAGUUGGUCGAAAUACUGAAUUCUCGUCGUCGAACGACGGUAAUCUACCUCACGCGCGCGCAUACACACAAAAUUUUUUUUUUUUUUUUUGUGUGUGUGUUCCCGUUUACACAUACACACGAUGAUACACGUUUCCAUCCGUCCGUCCGUCCGUCCGUCCAGGCAAGUCUUGUUUAGCGAAUUUUUCAGAAAAAAGAUGGGUGAAUGUAGCAAGGAUGGCACGUAUGAAUAACGAAGCCACCUUGAGUAUGAUCCUAUGAACCCGGAAAAAUUUAAAACAGAGAGUUACUUACUUGCAAAUAAAUGUGUUAACAUGUGACAUUAUUGACCGAGGUUACCGGGGUCUUUUCCGUAGGCUUUUCUUUCCACGGAUAAACCUCAUCUAUUUCCCCCUUUACACUUUAUAUCAUAACAUUUCUGUGAUACACGAUCCCUAUUGAUAGAUAUUUUUUUUCUUUUUGCUUUCCUCUUUCUAUUUCCUUUUUCUUUUUUACGAUCCCUUUUGAUCGAAAAUCUACCCCCUUUUUUUCUCCUCAAAAAGAAAAGCCCUACCUUGUAAUUUGUUCCGUCUAUGUGCAGCCCUGUGUGGCUAAUAAAGAACCAUAUCUGUCUAUCCAUCCAUCUAUCUAUCUAUCUGUCUAUCCAUCUAUCUAUCUGUCUAUCCAUCUAUCUAUCUAUCUGUCUAUCCAUCCAUCUAUCUAUCUAUCUGUCUAUCCAUCCAUCUAUCUACCUAUCUAUCUAUCUGUCUAUCCAUCCAUCUAUCUAUCUAUCUGUCUAUCCAUCCAUCUAUCUAUCUAUCUGUCUAUCCAUCCAUCUAUCUAUCUAUCUGUCUAUCCAUCCAUCUAUCUAUCUAUCUGUCUAUCCAUCCAUCUAUCUAUCUAUCUGUCUAUCCAUCCAUCUAUCUAUCUAUCUGUCUAUCCAUCCAUCUAUCUAUCUAUCUGUCUAUCCAUCCAUCUAUCUAUCUGUCUAUCCAUCCAUCUAUCUAUCUAUCUAUCUAUCUAUCUAUCCAUCUGUCUAUCCAUCCAUCUAUCUAUCUAUCCAUCUGUCUAUCCAUCCAUCCAUCUGUCUAUCCAUCCAUCCAUCUAUCUAUCUAUCUGUCUAUCCAUCCAUCUAUCUAUCUAUCUAUCUAUCUAUCUAUCUAUCUAUCUAUCUAUCUAUCUAUCUAUCUAUCUAUCUAUCUAUCUGUCUAUCCAUCCAUCUAUAUCCAUCCAUCUAUUUAUCUCUAUGUAUCUCUCUCUCCAUCCAUCCAUCCGCUGUGCCACCCUCUCUCAACACCUCAUUACCUUUAUUUUACUGCAAUAUAACGAAAGAAACGAAACGCACUAUUCAACUAGGGGCUCCUUUACACUCGAGUUUGUUUCGAUCACAACUCGUUACUUCUAUGCUGAAAGAUAGCUUAGAAAGAAAAAAAAAAACCCAGUAAAUAAAGGUACGUAAAACGAAGUUUGUUCAAAUCAGACAUCUUCAAUGCACUUUUAAAACAACGCUAAGGUGUAGUUUUAUAGUAAAUAGGAUAGUCUAGGUGCUAAGAUUUUUUUCCCUACGUCUACUCAGAGGCGGGAUGGCAAACGAUUUGUGAUGUAAGGAAUAGCGACCUAAUUUUAGGAGCGAAGCUAUCAAAUUUCAAAUGUAAAUGAGCUGGUUCAGACCCUUCUUGCUAUUGUUGAAUUAUUAUUAUCAUUAUUAUUAUUAUUAUUAUUUAUUUUUUUCCGUCUCACUAUUCUAACUGCUGUCUCUAUUGUCGGUUAUUGAAGUAAUAAUUAACAGGCGUUGUAUUAAUUAAAAAUACAUAUAAUGGCGGUGCUCCAGCAUGGCCACAGCUCAUGAGCUGAAACUGGAAAAAUCAAAAAUCAAAAAAAUACUCUUUUACUCUUUUACUUGUUUCAGUCAUUUGACUGCGGCCAUGCUGGAGCACCGCCUUUAAUCGAGCAACUCGACCCCGGGACUUAUUCUUUUUGUAAGCCCAGUACUUAUUCUAUCGGGUUCUUUUGCCGAACCGCUAAGUAACGGGGACAUAAACACACCAGCAUCGGUUGUCAAGCAAUGCUAGGAGGACAAACACAGACACACAAACACACACACGCACAUAUAUAUAUAUAUGUACAUAUAUACGACAGGCUUCUUUCAGUUUCUGUCUACCAAAUCCACUCACAAGGCUUUGAUCGGCCCGAGGCUAUAGUAGAAGACACUUGCCCAAAGUGCCACGCAGUGGGACUGAACCCAGAACCAUGUGGUCGGUAAACAAGCUACUUACCACGCGGCCACUCCUGCGCCUAUGUUAUGUAAAUAUUUCCAGAACAGAUUUUUAAACAUCGUAAACAAGAUGAAUGAAUCGAGAUUCCUUUUGUUUGUGAAUGUGUUGGCUGUUUUUGAUGUUGUUUAACCCUAGGUCAGAUUUUAUCGACUUGAUCAACUCAGGCAGCCAAAAGAAAUUUUGUAAGGUAGAAUAAAAUUGCCUACAAGCCCCGGUGGGGUGAGAAAGGGGGUUCCAUCUUUUCUUUUUGGGGUGACACUUCAACUAUUUACGGGCCCUUCUUUAACUCACCGGACAUUAAAUCAAUAAGAUUAUGUAUGUAUGUAUGUAUAUAUGUAUGUAUGUACGUAUGUACGUAUGUAUGUACGUACGUAUGUAUGUACGUAUGUACGUAUGUAUGUAUGUACGUAUGUACGUAUGUAUGUACGUACGUAUGUACGUACAUAUUGUUAAUCCAAACAUGAACAAAGAGAAAACACAACGCGAGGACGUGGAACAAGUAUAGUGUUAUUGGACGCUCAGGAAAGGAAAGAAAGAAGGAGGAUUUAACGUUUCGAGCGGAGCUCUUCGUCAGAAAUAUAAAAAAAGGCAACGCCCAAGGAAGGGAAGACGGAGAAAGAAAUACGCCAACGAUACACACGCGGUCACAUAUUGAAAAUAUGUAUGUAUGUAUAAAGACAGGCUUUUCUAUCUACGAAAUACAGUCACGUGACAUAUUCGGAAAUGGUUUCAAAUUUAAGCACAAGUCCAGCAAACUUAGAAGGGGAGGUUAAGUUGAUUAUGUCGAUAUCGGUACUCGACUGGUAUUUAUUCGUAUUUUAUCGACCUUAAAAGGCUGAAAAGCCAACGUCAACCUCAACGGUAUUUGAACUCAGAAUGUAAUGAAUGAAUUAGAAGACAUUACCUCACAACAUUUUUUUUCGACACAUAACUAUCUUGUCAGCUCACCUUCCUCAUAUUAAGUAAUGACAUACUAUCCAAUAUUUCAGUUUACUUUUAAGACAGUAGGGUGUAAUUUAAGGAAGAUUUAGCUGCUAUUUCUAGCAAGUCGAACAACCAUGUUAAGCGCUCCCAAUUUAUUUUGUAUAUAGUCACCGAUAACUCAAAGAAAUUGCUUUGUUGUAUAAAAGAAUUGUAUUUACAUUGUAUUUAGUUUCCGUGUAACUUAUUUCAUUUUUUUUUCUUUUGAAAAAUGCUGUGUCACGUACUUCAUAUUUAAUAACUUGAGAAAUAGCAUAACAAUUUUUUUCAAGAAGCCACACACCAAUUAUUAAAAAAGAAAAAGAAAACCUAGACUCCGUUUGUUUCUGUGAUACUAGAGUGAAGAAUAGAUGAAACAAGGAGCCGACAACAAAACCUUCAACGGCGAUCACAAAAAUUUUUUAGCUAAUUCUCCCUCACAACGUACACCACUGUUUGUACAGAAGUUGGAGCAUCACGUUACAUAUAGACCUAGAUAUCACUAAAAGGACGACAUGACUUCGAACCGGAACGUUUAGGUCAGACAUACGAGGCUUUACUAACGCGACAAAACAAAAGCACCAAAUUUGGGUGUGCACGAGUAUGAUGCAGUCAGUGCUCAACACUUUUGAAAUUAUCUAAUCAGCUAUACUUCCUUAUUUAUGUGUCAUUCUCUACCGAACCGCUAAGAUUUACAAGCACGUAAGCAAACUAACAACGGUUGUAAGGCGUCUGGCGUUGAAACACAGCCACCGGUUUCUUGCAGUGUCUGUCUACUAAGUUCACUCACAAGGUAUUGACCAGUAUAAGUUUAUUGUAGGAGACGCUUGCCAAAGGUGUCGCAAGUUGGGACUGAACCUGAAAUCCCCUAGUUGCGAAGCCGACUCCUUAGUCACAUAACCAAUCUUACGCCUACGUUGCUAAAUUCUUUCAAGCAAUACUUUUCAUGCACUGUGUGGAAGCACUCCGUCGGUUACGACGAUGAGAGUUCCGGUUGAUCCGAAUCAACGGAACAGCCUGCUCGUGAAAUUAACGUGUAAGUGGCUGAGCACUCCACAGACACGUGUACCCUUAGCGUAGUUCUCGGGGAUAUUCAGCGUGACACAGAGAGUGACAAGGCUGCCCUUUGAAAUAGUUGUGGUGAAAGAGUACAGCAGGGAUCACCACCAUACCCUGCCGGAGCCUCGUGGAGCUUUAGGUGUUUUCGCUCAAUAAACACUCACAACGCCCGGUCUGGGAAUCGAAACCGCGAUCCUAUGACCGCGAGUCCGCUGCCCUAACCACUGGGCCAUUGCGCCUCCACUUUCAUACACUAUCACGGUACGAGAAGUGCUGAAAGUUCCUAGUUUUAAGGGUAUCACAAAAGGCUUGGUUGGAGACCCAACCUUCCGAGCCCUUUUACAGGGCUCAGAAAAAUUAAAGGACUGCUGCAAUAAGUCUGAAUUUGAGAGCGGAAUGUAUCGAAUAAAAUCAUAAUUAACCGGUCCUCCUGUAUUUUCUUUUGCCCAAAGCCAGGAAUGUUUUGGCACCCUUUCGUAUAAUCGUGUUGUAAUUUGUUUUUAAAAAAGUUCAUCAAUAUGGUGUCUUUUUGUCAUCCCGAAGCUCUUUUAGAAUAUUCGUGCACCAUAAUUCAACUCGGGAAAUGAAUUCAAACCCGAAAUUGGCUAGUUAUGAAGUUAUCAACUCAAUCACCUAGUUAUGUCUUUCUAAGACUAAACCGUGGAGGCGCAAUGGCCCAGUGGUUAGGGCAGCGAACUCGCGGUCGUAGGAUCGCGGUUUCGAUUCCCAGACCGGGCAUUGUGAGUGUUUAUUGAACGAAAACACCUAAAGCUUCACGAGGCUCCUGCAGGGGGUGGUGGUAAUCCCUGCUGUACUCUUUCACUACAACUUUCUCUCACUCUUUCUUCCUGUUUCUGUUGUACCUGUAUUUCAAAGGGCCAGCCUUGCCAUACUCUGUGACACGCUGAAUCUUCUCGAGAACUACGUUAAGGGUACACGUGUCUGUGGAGUGCUCAGCCACUUGCACGUUAAUUCCACGAGCAGGCUGUUCCGUUGAUCGUAUCAGCUGGGACCCUCAUCGUCGUAACCGACGGAGUGCUUCUAUAUACUAAGACAACAUCACCAACAUCUUUCCAAUAUAUUUGCAAUUGGAUGGCUUUGGGCCGAAAUUUGAAACCAGUAUAUUGCAAGUGUCCUGCGAUAGACUGGCUUCCCGUCCAGCUGGGGGGAACACAUACGCCACAGAAACCGGUAAACCGGGUCCAUGAGCCUGGCUAGGCUUGAAAAGGGCGACGUUUAUCGUUUUUAUAUUGCAAUUGUUCAGGCGGCAAGUUGGCAGAAUCGUUAGCACGCCAGACAAAAUGCGAAGCGGUAUUUCGUCCGUCUUAAUGUUC